UGAAUACGAGAUGCUACGGCGUCGAAGCAGUGUAUGUCAGACUUCCAAGAAAAGCUCGCAAUGUCAUAAAUAAAGAAUGCCUGUACCAUAACCGACACAGGUGGGUAGGUAGAGUAUACUAAGGGGCGCGAGAUAACUCUCUCUAAGGAACUCGGCAAAAUAACUCCGUAACUUCGGGAGAAGGAGUGCCUUCUUUAAGAAGGUUGCAAUAACAAGAUCCAAGCAACUGUUUAUCAAAAACACAGGUCUCCGCUAAGUCGUAAGACGAUGUAUGGGGGCUGACGCCUGCCCAGUGCCAGAAGGUUAAAGAAGUUGGUUAGCUUUUGCGAAGCUGAUGACUGAAGCCCUGGUGAACGGCGGCCGUAACGAUAACGGUCCUAAGGUAGCGAAAUUCCUUGUCGGGUAAGUUCCGACCCGCACGAAAGGCGUAAUGAUUUGGAUACUGUCUCGGAGAGGGACUCGGUGAAAUAGACUUGUCUGUGAAGAUGCGGACUACCUGCACCAGGACAGAAAGACCCUAUGAAGCUUUACUGUAACUUGAAAUUGAAAUUGGACUUUAUUUGCGCAGUAUAGGUGGAAGGCGUUGAAAGUAAUCUUGCGGGAUUAGUGGAGCCAUCAGUGAGAUACCACUCCUAUAAUGUUAGAUUUCUAACUUUGGAUCAUGAUCUGGUCAAAGAACAGUUUCAGGCGGGCAGUUUGACUGGGGCGGUCGCCUCCCAAAUGGUAACGGAGGCGUACAAAGGUUUCCUCUGAACGGGUAGAAAUCGUAUCUAGAGUGUAAAGGCAUAAGGAAGCUUGACUGUGAGACCUACAAGUCGAGCAGGGACGAAAGUCGGUCUUAGUGAUCUGACGGUGCUGAGUGGAAAGGCCGUCACUCAACGGAUAAAAGUUACUCUAGGAUAACAGGCUGAUCUCCCCCAAGAGUUCACAUCGACGGGGAGGUUUGGCACCUCGAUGUCGGCUCAUCGCAUCCUGGGGCGGUAGUACGUCCCAAGGGUUGGGCUGUUCGCCCAUGAAAGCGGUACGCGAGCUGGGUUCAGAACGUCGUGAGACAGUUCGUUCCAUAUCCGGUGUAGGCGUUAGAAUAUUGAGAGGAGCCUUCUUUAGUACGAGAGGACCGAGAAGGACAUACCUCUGGUGUACCAGUUAUCGUGCCAACGGUAAACGCUGGGUAGCUAUGUAUGGAGAGGAUAACCGCUGAAAGCAUCUAAGUGGGAAGCCCACCUCAAGAUGAGUAUUCUCAC
rnacentral:rRNA from 1 species